rnacentral:rRNA from 1 species
UACGUAGGUGGCGAGCGUUGUCCGGAUUUACUGGGUGUAAAGGGCGUGUAGGCGGAAAAGCAAGUCAGAUGUGAAAUGCGGGGGCUUAACCCCCGGACUGCAUUUGAAACUGCUAUUCUUGAGUGAUGGAGAGGUAAGCGGAAUUCCCGGUGUAGCGGUAAAAUGCGUAGAUAUCGGGAGGAACACCAGUGGCGAAGGCGGCUUACUGGACAUUAACUGACGCUGAGGCGCGAAAGUGUGGGGAGCAAACAGGAUUAGAUACCCUGGUAGUCCACACUGUAAACGAUGGAUACUAGGUGUGGGGGGACUGACCCCUUCCGUGCCGGAGUCAACACAAUAAGUAUCCCACCUGGGGAGUACGGUCGCAAGAUUAAA